AACUUUCUAUUUGAUAAUUCAAAGAAAAGUUUAAGAACAAAGACUAUAGUGCUUUAGAAAUUAUUCGGGAUUCUUAAAAUGAUUGUUUAUUAUUUUGGGGACAGUUGCCUGGUUUUCAGUUGAUUUCAUCAUCAGAGUGGCUAGAGAGAAGCUGGAUGGCUAAGGAGUCCAGUAUAAGUCUAUUAACCUUCCAGACAACUAAAACAAGAUUUACACUUUGGAGUGAAGCUUACUGACAGAAAACUGGACAAAUUCAGUGUUUGGUCAGACAUAGGACUUAUGUUUAUAUUUGAGUAGUUUCUAGGUUCCUACAAGCUGUGGAUCUACAACACCAACUAGGCAAUUAGCUGAGACCCUGCGUAUGUAACACACCCAGAUCUUCAGCAAUAACAAAGGUCCCUAGCAGUGAGCAAAGCAUGUCCUUUGCCAGAAAAGAAAUGUUGCUGCAUCUGCAAUGAACAGCCCUUGAAACAAGGCUUAAUUGAGAGAAACCUGGAUCCCCUCAGACCUUCAGAGGGAAAAUCUUCAUGUAAAAGCCUAGAAAGUUCUCCAUAAAAGGGAUGCUGAAAAUUCUAGAUCCAGAGGAAUAUAAGACUUGCCCCACUUCAGAAAAAGUCUGGCGCAAGCAGGAAUGUCUCAUACCUCUUAGUAUGUGAGACAAGGUCCACCCAUAGAGGCUCCUAUCAACUAUCCAUUUUGCCGAGCUGCCAACUGAGAGAUAAAGAGGAAGGAAAGAACUUACCUAUUACUAAUACACAUGGCUUGGAAACAGAAAGGCAUAUGAGAUCUUUCCAGUGAUAUCUCCUUCCUGCACAAUUACUUGCUGCAAGAAAAAGAUCUCUGAUGUCAAAAAUAGGUUGUCCACAAACUACUGAACAGUCUCUCUGUAGAGAGAACAAUCCUUGAGCUUUCCAUCCACAAUAAUCCAAGCAAGAGGAUACAUUAUUUUAAAUGUUGAUCUGUAUUAAAACUAUUCAUUAAAAAAAUAAUAAACAAUUAGCACAUUAAAUG